AUUGAACGCUGGCGGCAUGCUUUACACAUGCAAGUCGAACGGGCUUAGGGGCUUGCUCCUAAGUUAGUGGCGAACGGUGAGUAAUACAUCGGAACGUACCGUGUAGUGGGGGAUAACGUAGCGAAAGUUACGCUAAUACCGCAUACGAUCUACGGAUGAAAGUGGGGGACCUUCGGGCCUCACGCUAUACGAGCGGCCGAUGUCUGAUUAGCUAGUUGGUGAGGUAAAGGCUCACCAAGGCAACGAUCAGUAGCGGGUCUGAGAGGAUGAUCCGCCACACUGGGACUGAGACACGGCCCAGACUCCUACGGGAGGCAGCAGUGGGGAAUUUUGGACAAUGGGCGAAAGCCUGAUCCAGCCAUGCCGCGUGUCUGAAGAAGGCC
rnacentral:rRNA from 1 species